UUUUUCGUAUUCUCGUCGUAUGUCUGAUUAAUUUCUGCCUCUUUACUUUUGUUAAUCUUCCUCCCUUUUAAGUAUUCUUGUUUUUUCUGCAAUACUUCUUUUCACAGCUUGUCGCUAUUUGAAUUCAUUCUCUGUGAUCAGAUCUCUUUUUGAAUGGUUAGUAAUUUCAGGGAGGAGAUGGAGUGAUUUGCGUCUUAUUUUAUAGCCGACAAACGAUAACUU
rnacentral:lncRNA from 1 species